rnacentral:rRNA from 1 species
GGCGCAGCAGUCGGGAAUAUUGCACAAUGGGCGAAAGCCUGAUGCAGCAACGCCGCGUGCGCGAAGAAGGCCUUCGGGUCGUAAAGCGCUUUUCGGGGAGAAGAGGAAGGACGGUAUCCCCGGAAUAAGGCUCGGCUAACUACGUGCCAGCAGCCGCGGUAAAACGUAGGAGCCAAGCGUUAUCCGAAUUCACUGGGCGUAAAGCGCGUGCAGGCGGCCGGAUAAGUUGGCUGUGAAAUCUCCUGGCUCAACUGGGAGAGGCCGGUCAAUACUGUCUGGCUCGAGGGCGACAGAGGGAGGUGGAAUUCCGGGUGUAGUGGUGAAAUGCGUAGAUAUCCGGAGGAACACCAGAGGCGAAGGCGACCUCCUGGGUCGUACCUGACGCUCAGAUGCGAAAGCUAGGGGAGCGAACGGGAUUAGAAACCCCAGUAGUCCG